UACGGGGGGGGCAAGCGUUGUUCGGAAUUACUGGGCGUAAAGGGCGUGUAGGCGGCCAACUAAGUCCGACGUGAAAUCCCCAGGCUUAACCUGGGAACUGCGUCGGAUACUGGAUGGCUUGAAUCCGGGAGAGGGAUGCAGAAUUCCAGGUGUAGCGGUGAAAUGCGUAGAUAUCGGGAGGAACACCAGUGGCGAAGGCGACUACCUGGCCUGUUCUUGACGCUGAGGCGCGAAAGCUAGGGGAGCAAACGGG
rnacentral:rRNA from 1 species